UAGAGUUUGAUCAUGGCUCAGGAUGAACGCUGGCGGCGUGCCUAACACAUGCAAGUCGAACGAAGCACUGCAACCGGAAUUCUUCGGAAGGAAAGAUGCAGUGACUGAGUGGCGGACGGGUGAGUAACGCGUGGGCAACCUGCCUUACACAGGGGGACAACAGCUGGAAACGGCUGCUAAUACCGCAUAUGCGCACAGGGCCGCAUGGUCUGGUGCGGAAAACUCCGGUGGUGUAAGAUGGGCCCGCGUCUGAUUAGGUAGUUGGCGGGGUAACGGCCCACCAAGCCGACGAUCAGUAGCCGGCCUGAGAGGGUGGCCGGCCACAUUGGGACUGAGACACGGCCCAAACUCCUACGGGAGGCAGCAGUGGGGAAUAUUGCACAAUGGGGGAAACCCUGAUGCAGCAACGCCGCGUGAGUGAAGAAGUAUUUCGGUAUGUAAAGCUCUAUCAGCAGGGAAGAAGAAAGACGGUACCUGACUAAGAAGCCCCGGCUAACUACGUGCCAGCAGCCGCGGUAAUACGUAGGGGGCAAGCGUUAUCCGGAUUUACUGGGUGUAAAGGGAGCGUAGACGGCUGUGCAAGUCUGAAGUGAAAGCCCGUGGCUCAACCGCGGAACUGCUUUGGAAACUGUAUAGCUUGAGUACUGGAGAGGCAGGCGGAAUUCCUAGUGUAGCGGUGAAAUGCGUAGAUAUUAGGAGGAACACCAGUGGCGAAGGCGGCCUGCUGGACAGAAACUGACGUUGAGGCUCGAAAGCGUGGGGAGCAAACAGGAUUAGAUACCCUGGUAGUCCACGC
rnacentral:rRNA from 1 species